CCAUAGCAACGCUAACCAAACCGCCGCGAGGCAGGAGGCCUGCGGACUGGGAAUGUUGUCCUCGCAGCCCCGACUCUCGGGGUUUGGAACAUGACUCGAAACUGAGUUUUAAACAUGCAGCUACUAGAAAGUUGCAGACCACAGGCAGGGCUCGCACCCUGUUCCACCCCACAGGGCCGCUGCGGACGGUGAGGGACGGUGUCGGGCAGCCCUCAACCCAGCGCUGGAAUCGGUGUUCACAGAAGGCUUGGAAACAAGGCUGGUCGCUCCCGCGCAUUCUAAACAGGAACAGAACAGACUGAGAAAGAAGGCACCGGUGGGGAAUUUCUCUCAGUUGUUGCUAAUCUAUGACCUUUAAAACAGCCCACACCAAAACCCCAGUUUUCAGCGUUGGGUGGAAAGACUGAUUUGGGGAGAUGAUUGAACCCACAUUCCCGCGCGUGGCGAGCGCCGUGAGAAACAGGCGAUCCUGCCGGCUCAUAAGAAUGCAGCACCACGGCUUCCCAGAGCACGGGUUCCCCUCGGUGCCUCGCUGCCCCCGUGGCGGACGCCCGCCUCUUCCAGGUCAAAGAGCUCAGGUGAUCAGCAGCCCACGACACUGACAACAUCAUCUUGUUUCUGAAGACCACGUCGGGUGCCUGGAGCAACUUCGGAGCAGAAAGUGUUUAUUAUCUUCUCGCCCAAGGCCUUCACGUGGCUACACUGUGGAUUUCUAAACAUGAUGACCGAUGAUGAGACAGCACACUUGUCACGAAGUCCUUGUGCCUCCUCAUCAGCAGGACACGCAGGGACAGAUCAAAGGAACCGGCUUCCUUUCCUUGCCUAAAGAGUUCCUUUGGAAUGCAUUAUGGAAAAUCGUGACCCUUGCCCUGUUAGCAAGGUUUGCUGGGAACAGCGCGAUGGUGAUUAAUAUAAUUGGACAAGAUGGACUUCCUGCGUGGGGUCCAGCCUAGAAUGCUGUAAUCUCGUUAUUCUUUGCAUCCAUCUAUGGGCUCAGAGCUGGUGCGCACGUACAAAGGGGACGCCUGUCUCUUGGCAGCCACUGAGGAGCGGAAUCCGACCGUCUCCACGGCCUCCGAGGCUGGCGUUGGUGGGCACCGCUGGCCAGACAGCCUGCCCUUCACCAAUGCCCCAGCCCCGGUGCCGCUGGGAAAUUGCACGGCUCGCGGAUGUUAAUGCCAGUCUAAUUACAUAUUUGGGCUUCCGUUCUGGCAAUGGGCUGUACUUAAGCAAAAUUUAGUGCCGUCUUAUGUGUUCCUACAGCUGGGUAAUUACAAGGCACUGAAGUUCUCGGAGCAGGAAAUUAAUGAUACGAAAAUCAGCGGCUCUUUAAAGGGUGGUUAUUCUCUGCGCUGCCAGGGACCCGUGACUGGAAGGCACAGGAGCUCAGGGCAGACCCAGUCCAGAGCGCGGAGGGAGGCAGGGGCAGCUGGGCUUGGCCCUGCGUAGAGGUUGCCAAAGCCGCUACAAGACUUCAUCUUGGGGCCAGUGCUGUGGCAUAAUGGGUAAAGCCACCACCUGCAGCGCCGGCAUCCCAUGUGGGCGCUGGUUCCAGUCCUGGCUGCUCCACUUCUGAUCCAGCUCUCUGCUGUGGCCUGGGAAAGCAGUAGAAGAUGGCCCAAGUCCUUGGGCCCUUGCACCUACAUGGGAGACCCGGAAGAAGCUCCUGGCUCCUGGCUUCUGAUCGGCACAGCUCCAGCUGUUGCAGCCCUCUGGGGAGUGAACCAGUGAUCUCACACACGGGAUCCCGGGCAGCUCCCAAAGCCUCGGGUAGGAAACUUCCCUAGGUGGUUCCCUCAGCUCUUCCCACACAAGGUGAACGGGCUUUUCUGAUGUGAUUCUUAUAUCAACAGUGUUACAGAUAUCGAAUUCCAUACAGGUACUGUAUUAGCCAGAGACGGUUGGCUAAGGCUCACUACAGAAAAAAAUGUAAAAACAUGAACUGUGCUCUACUUUGCUCUUUUAUUCCAGGUCAUCAACAGGGAAUGGCUGUUCUACCUUAGUGAAUGAGGUCUGUCUGUGUCGAAAAUGCAUUAUGGGGGUCGACACUGUGGCUUAGCAGGUAAAGCAGUCACCUGCAGUGCCGGCAUCCCAUGUGGGUGCCAGUUCAAGUCCCGGCUGCUCCACUUUCCAAUCUGGCUCUCUGCUGUGUGGCCUGGGAAAGCAGUAGAAGAUGACCCAAGUCCUUGGGCCCCUGCACCCACAUGGGAGACCUGGAUGAAGCUCCUGGCUCCUGCCUUCAGAUCAGCACAGCUCUGGCCAUGUGGCCAAUUGGGGAGUGAACCACUGGAUGGAAGAUUCUCUCUCUCUCUUUCUCUGUCUCUCUCUCUC